rnacentral:rRNA from 1 species
UACACAUGCAGUCGACGGCAGCACAGAGGAGCUUGCUCCUUGGGUGGCGAGUGGCGGACGGGUGAGGAAUACAUCGGAAUCUACUUUUUCGUGGGGGAUAACGUAGGGAAACUUACGCUAAUACCGCAUACGACCUACGGGUGAAAGCAGGGGAUCUUCGGACCUUGCGCGAUUGAAUGAGCCGAUGUCGGAUUAGCUAGUUGGCGGGGUAAAGGCCCACCAAGGCGACGAUCCGUAGCUGGUCUGAGAGGAUGAUCAGCCACACUGGAACUGAGACACGGUCCAGACUCCUACGGGAGGCAGCAGUGGGGAAUAUUGGACAAUGGGCGCAAGCCUGAUCCAGCCAUACCGCGUGGGUGAAGAAGGCCUUCGGGUUGUAAAGCCCUUUUGUUGGGAAAGAAAUCCAGCCGGCUAAUACCUGGUUGGGAUGACGGUACCCAAAGAAUAAGCACCGGCUAACUUCGUGCCAGCAGCCGCGGUAAUACGAAGGGUGCAAGCGUUACUCGGAAUUACUGGGCGUAAAGCGUGCGUAGGUGGUUGUUUAAGUCUGUUGUGAAAGCCCUGGGCU